ensembl:lncRNA
AAAAACUGGAUUUACAAACCUUUUCAUCCAUCAGUGGUGACCAAACCAUGGUCUUACGUACCUUGGCAAGAAAUACAAUUCCAGAUUACAUGGCAACAAUGAGCAGUUCCAUGGAAUUUCACAGAGCCCAUUAUUUUACACGAAGGAAAAUCUACUCGCUGCCACAGUAGCCAUUCCAAUAGUUUUUAUUGGAGCAGUUGCAUUAUGACUUCAUUGAGCAAAAGGUAAGUAGCCAUCCUAAAUAAUGAAGAUUGAAGGUUUAAUAGUCCUAAUAAAGAAUCCUGCAGGUUUUUUAUUUCAGAAAUUAGAGUUUGAUUGCAAGUGUAUGAUAAUGAGAGGAAAAAAAGCACUGGCAAGUGGGACCCUUUUGCAGCCCGGGCUCUUGGCAACUUCCAUUUUUUCUGCAUAGAAAUACAGAGGAGGAAGGAGAGAAGGAAAGAAAAUCUCAGUGCCAUCAAACUUCCAGGAAGGGCUUUAAAAGAACUUCUGUUCCACUCUCUUCAGCCGUAAAGUACCACGUGUUUCAGCAAGUGAAAAGUGGCAGCAUUAACCUGAAUGAUGGUAACAAUGACUACAGAACGAGCUGGCUGGGGAUUUGCAAACACAAUCUCCAGAUGUCUACAAAAGAUCUGAUUUAUCCAACAUACUCCAGGCAGAAUUUGUUGCUUU